AGCCAGGUAGAGCAGAGGUCAGCUCAUCGGGCUCAUAUCCCGAAGGUCAUAGGUUCGAAUCCUAUCUUGGCUU
rnacentral:tRNA from 1 species